GAUGAACGCUGGCGGUAGGCCUAACACAUGCAAGUCGAACGGCAGCACAGGAGAGCUUGCUCUCUGGGUGGCGAGUGGCGGACGGGUGAGGAAUACAUCGGAAUCUACUCUGUCGUGGGGGAUAACGUAGGGAAACUUACGCUAAUACCGCAUACGACCUACGGGUGAAAGCAGGGGACCUUCGGGCCUUGCGCGAUUGAAUGAGCCGAUGUCGGAUUAGCUAGUUGGCGGGGUAAAGGCCCACCAAGGCGACGAUCCGUAGCUGGUCUGAGAGGAUGAUCAGCCACACUGGAACUGAGACACGGUCCAGACUCCUACGGGAGGCAGCAGUGGGGAAUAUUGGACAAUGGGCGCAAGCCUGAUCCAGCCAUACCGCGUGGGUGAAGAAGGCCUUCGGGUUGUAAAGCCCUUUUGUUGGGAAAGAAAUCCAGCUGGCUAAUACCCGGUUGGGAUGACGGUACCCAAAGAAUAAGCACCGGCUAACUUCGUGCCAGCAGCCGCCGUAA
rnacentral:rRNA from 1 species